CAGCAAAAAAGGGCAUAAUUCCCAUGAUCGCUUCGAAGGCUGAUCAAUAUUCAGGUAAUGAGACAUUGCGUGUGAUCACUGAUCAUGUUUCUAUAUGAACGAGUGAUUUCGUGUGAGUCGUGAGGUAGCAAAUACGGUUGAACAAAAUAGUCUGCAUUUUCAAAAUUCGGCGCGGGAUCGGCGCCCCCUUUUCAUUUUUGCGCCCCCCAAAAAUUGCCAGCUGGGGGGGGGGCAUGGCCCCCCGGCCCCCCCUGCCAGCACGCCACUGAUAUAGGGGCAUUGCAGAUUACAGGGUUCGUAGUCUCC